rnacentral:lncRNA from 1 species
UACCCACCCCUUCUAUGAGUUUGGUUGCAGCCUUUCUUCUGUUUUGGUGAAUGUGUUGCCCUCCACCAGCUCACAGUGAACAUGGACCUGCACUCUCCUAUUUGCUCCCAGACUAGGGCAUGUCAGACUGAGCUGGCGCGCGCGCGUGUGUUUGUGUGUGUGUGUGUGUGUGUGUGUGUGUGUGAUCACGCCUACCAUAUUGGCUUCCUGUCCCUGGCACAUCAGCUUUUCUAGCUGGCUAAGCCUGUCCCCACAACCACUGUUGCCACUGAGACCACCCCAACUCCUUCCCUGUAAGCUUCAGGCCUGUGCUAUGCGGGGUUUUGUUAAGCUGUUUAGUAUUAAUUGAUUUUUUUUUUCCAUUUUUUUCUUUCUUUCCCUGGGCGGGUCAAUAGCUGGAUGCUUCAGGAGCAGAGGAUCUAUCAACUGCAGACCAAGCAUAGGGAGACGCAGGCAGACCUGGAACGGAAACCCCAGCCAGCUCCAGCCGCUCCGACAGUACUUGGUGGCUGGACGUUCAGCAGCAGGAAGCAUGCCACGGGCCAGGAAAUGACCCAAACCUUGAGGUCUGAUGGAGAAAACAAAGACUCAGCUGGGAGAGGCACCUGCUUUCUGAAAUGGAAUCACCUACUUUCAAGCCCAGGCUUUCAGAGAGACUUUAUGGGCUUAUGGUGCGUCUCAGAGCGAUCGUGUGCUUCCUGCUCCCUCCCGCACCUGCUCUGAGCUCCUGAGUCUGCUGAGCUGCUACAGGAAAAGGAGAAAAGACACAAUCCCCAGGAAACUGUGAGUCCUGGGGAACAGUCAGUAGCCCUGAGUGAAGAAGAUGUCCAGAGGGUACUUUUGCUAGGUGAUUUAACCUUUCCCAAAGCAGACAGUGAAUAGGGGAAAAUACCAGCGGAAGAAACAACCCAAGGGGUGUCUUACAAGCAUCUGGCCAUUUGUUCAGGGACCCUGGUCCCCCAAAUGCCUUCACAGAGCUUGGGGCACCUGAUCGACC